rnacentral:rRNA from 1 species
GACGAACGCUGGCGGCGUGCUUAACACAUGCAAGUCGAACGGUAAGGCCCUUCGGGGUACACGAGUGGCGAACGGGUGAGUAACACGUGGGUGAUCUGCCCUGCACUUCGGGAUAAGCCUGGGAAACUGGGUCUAAUACCGGAUAGGACCCUGGGAUGCAUGUCCUGGGGUGGAAAGCUUUUGCGGUGUGGGAUGGGCCCGCGGCCUAUCAGCUUGUUGGUGGGGUGAUGGCCUACCAAGGCGACGACGGGUAGCCGGCCUGAGAGGGUGACCGGCCACACUGGGACUGAGAUACGGCCCAGACUCCUACUGGAGGCAGCAGUGGGGAAUAUUGCACAAUGGGCGCAAGCCUGAUGCAGCGACGCCGCGUGAGGGAUGACGGCCUUCGGGUUGCAAACCUCUUUCAGCACCGACGAAGCGCAAGUGACGGUAGGUGCAGAAGAAGGACCGGCCAACUACGUGCCAGCCGCCGCGGUAA